UCCUUCUCAGGUGUUAAAGAAUUUCCUUGAUACUGCUGAGGCUGAAGUCAAGUCUCUCACUACUCUUUAUAUUGAAGUGGGAAGGAGUGCAGACUCCCUAUCCCUAUAUUUUGGCGAGGAUCCAGCUCGAUGCCCCUUUGAGCAAGUGACACAGAUUUUGGUGGUGUUCAUGAAGAUGUUUAAAAAAUCACGCGAUGAGAAUGAACAAGCAGCUGAUGCUGAAAAGAAGAAACUGGAGAAGGAAGCUUUGAAGGAACAAGUGGCUGCUAGUUCUUCUGGGAAGAAAGGAGUUGGUGAUGCUGAUAGAGUAAAACUGAAUUUUUUAAAUCAGUUACAUGCUGUGUGAUCAGUUCAAAUUGACCGACGCUUCUAGUACUCCAUAAACUGCUAGAAUCAGUCAAACUUUCUUGAUGAUAGCAGUUCUGCUUAUAUGCCACUGACUUCGGUGUACGAUUUAGGUUUUAUAGUUAGUUAUAUCUGUACAUAAUUACCAUAGUUAAAUUGGCA